GAUUAAAUGGCUGAAGCUUAUGCAAUAAAUUGUAAAUUUGUUUACAAGGGUUAACCUUUUUAGUCA
rnacentral:tRNA from 1 species